rnacentral:rRNA from 1 species
GUGGGUGAUCUGCCCUGCACUUCGGGAUAAGCCUGGGAAACUGGGUCUAAUACCGGAUAUGACCACAUGAUGCAUGUCGUGUGGUGGAAAGCUUUUGCGGUGUGGGAUGGGCCCGCGGCCUAUCAGCUUGUUGGUGGGGUCACGGCCUACCAAGGCGACGACGGGUAGCCGGCCUGAGAGGGUGACCGGCCACACUGGGACUGAGAUACGGCCCAGACUCCUACGGGAGGCAGCAGUGGGGAAUAUUGCACAAUGGGCGCAAGCCUGAUGCAGCGACGCCGCGUGAGGGACGACGGCCUUCGGGUUGUAAACCUCUUUCAGCACAGACUAAGCGCAAGUGACGGUAUGUGCAGAAGAAGGACCGGCCAACUACGUACCACCGCCCCCCCGCGUUAAAAAAAUC